rnacentral:misc_RNA from 1 species
GAUGAAGAACGUAGCGAAAUGCGACAAGUAAUGUGAAUUGCAGAAUUCCGUGAAUCAUCGAAUCUUUGAACGCACAUUGCGCCCGCUGGUAUUCCGGCGGGCAUGCCUGUUCGAGCGUCAUUUCAACCCUCAAGCUCUCCGGAGUUUGGUGUUGGGGCGCCUGGGGCUUUUCGACCUCAGGGCCCUCAAGUCCAUCGGCGGGACCGCCAGGACACUGAGCGCAGUAGUAUUAUUUCGCUCGGUAGGAUCUUCCACGGCGGGUCGAUCUGGCCGCUAAACCCCCCAAUUCUCACCAAAGGUUGACCUCGGAUCAGGUAGGAAUACCCGCUGAACUUAAGCAUAUCAAUAAGCGGAGGA